AAGCUGCUAGAGGGAGCGGCGGGCAGCGGACGGCGGGAAAAGGAGACUUACCUCGGUAUUCCUCCAUACGCCCCCCUUGAUCAUAAUUCGAGGCAUCUUGGCGGCAGGGUGUCUCGGCAAGCAGCCGAGAGGAGCUUCAGAGAAGUAGUAACAGCGAUUGGGCCACCGGACUCAAAGCCGCCACUUCCUCCAAGCGCGACCUUCUGCUUUGAAGAUCUGCGCAAGCGCAAGGUCUUCGAGAUUUUAACACUGGAGCAUAGAGGAGGUCAGUCUCUACUGACUGCUGAACAUCCAACACGUGACACCCAGGAGUUGUCUACCACCAUGUUUUGGACUAAGGGAAAAAAGCAGGUAAAGAGAGAGAUGUAAGUCCUGACCAUGUCAGAGUACCUGGAUCCAGCAUGUUCCUGAGUCCCAGCUGCAUUCCUGUCCUUGCAUUCUGAUUAUUAGUUUCCUAUUUGUGUUAGCCACUUGGAAUUGGGUUUCUAUUAUUUGUAAGGAAGAGUCCUAACAAUUCCAGAGAUGGACCAAUACUCUGUCAGAGGCCUUUCAGAUCUCACAUUCCAAGAGUUGAUGAAGGCUUCUCCCUCCCACUCAGGGCCACCUCUUUACCAUAUGUUACUUUUGUGAGAACUAGAAAAAGGUGCCCCUUCCUCAAGACACUUUAUGCCACAUGCUGGAAAAUUGUCACAAAAUACUGGUGUUCUGAGAACAGGGCACUCUAUUACAAGAAAAUUGGAUCUACCAUCUCCACUAUGUGAAUUCCACCCCUAGAGACAUGCAUUGUACAACUUACUCAUCCAGGUAAAACAGCCCUGUCAACUGUCCCUCAUUUCACCUUUGAACAUGCAGAUUGUAUAUUCCCUUUCAGAAUUCAGAAAAAUGCAACAUCAUGGAAGUUCCAGGAUGUCUGAAACCAGAGCACUGUAGCCACAAACAUCAGAACACAAACACACUGUUCUCCAGGAUGGCCUGCUUGGCCAGCCUCCCCCACCAUACUACUGCAGCCUCACCAGCCAGGUAUGGGAACCCUUACAAAGAGGCCACAGGGACUGCCAACAAUCUCUUGAGGGACAGCCAUAAGAAGCAUCUAUCGUUAGGCAACCAGACUAUAUGGUCAGUCACUGUGAAUCUUUGGUAAAGUGAGUGGCCACUGCUAAAUAGUCUCACUCACCCAAGGCAUUUUUCCCCAAACAUGUUCCUUAGAACACCAGUUACAUAAAAUACUCCAUUUAAAAAAAAACAAAAAAUAAAAAAAAACAUGGUUUUUAUGUCCUCCCCUCUUGCAGAGUCACUGAAAUUAAAGCCUGUAAGAAGCUGUCAGAUGAAAAAAUCUGUUUCUCCCUGUUGAGAGUUGAAUUGUAUUCCCCCCAAAUAGAUAUGUUCAAGUCCUAACCCCUGCUACCUGUAAAUGUGACCUUAUUUGGAAAUAGAGUCUUUGCAGAUGUAAUCAAGUUAAAAUGAGAUCAUACUGGAGUAGGUUGUCCCUAAAUCCAAUGAGUAGUGUCCUUAUAAGUGGAGAAGAAAAAAGAUACAGACACACAGGGGGAAUAUCAUGGGAAGAAAGAGGCAGAGAUUGGAGUGAUGCAGCUCCAAGCCAAGGAAUGCCAAGGAUUCUGGCAGCCACCAGAAGCCAGGAGAAGGCAUGGAACACAUUCUCCCUCUGAGCCCCAAGAAGGAGCCAGCCCUGCUGACACUUUGAUUUUGGACUCCCAGCCUCCAGAACUCAGAUCCUUGAAUAACAUCAUUUUGUGCAAGAUCGUUUCAUGAUAACAUUGAUGAGUCCAGGCAUGGUGGCUCAUGCCCGUAAUUCCAACACUCGGGGAGGCCAAGGCAGGAGGAUUGCUUGAGCCCAGGAGUUUG
rnacentral:lncRNA from 10 species